AUGAAGAGUUGAACCCACGCGGCAUUGGUGGCGAGAGCCUGCCCAGCAGUGGCGGGCGCUGA
rnacentral:snoRNA from 1 species